UACGUAGGGGGCAAGCGUUGUCCGGAUUUAUUGGGCGUAAAGAGCGUGUAGGCGGCCAUACAGGUCCGUUGUGAAACUGGAGGCUUAACCUCCAGACGUCGAUGGAAACCGUAUGGCUAGAGUCCGGAAGAGGAGAGUGGAAUUCCUGGUGUAGCGGUGAAAUGCGCAGAUAUCAGGAAGAACACCCGUGACGAAGGCGGCUCUCUGGGACGGUACUGACGCUGAGACGCGAAAGCGUGGGGAGCGAACAGG
rnacentral:rRNA from 1 species